rnacentral:lncRNA from 1 species
UCGAAGGGAGCGAUGUGGCAGCGGAUUGAUUUAUUGCUGAGCUUGGCCGCUUCCCGGCUGGGCGCGGGGGGAGCGUGAGCGAGGGGUGCCUGGCACCGGGCUAACACCAACUCAGGGCUCACGGCUAAAGAGAACCACCAGUUCAGACCCCGCUGCAUGGGGGCUGCGGGACAGGGGGCGCGGAACGCCCCUCUGCUCCCACUCCGCGUUCCUUCGGGCUCCGACCCGCUAAGGAAGGAUCCCCUACGGUCAUCGCUCCCUUUGUUCCCCGCUGCUGCCCGCACCCGGCCCUACGCGGGCGGGUCGGGGCCGCUCUGCUCGGAGGGCUCCGGGCUCCCAGGUGGGCUCCGGCUCGCCGUUCUCUCCGUGCAGGUUCUCGGCGCUCCUGUUGUGGUGCCAUCGCUCCGCAGCGCUGCGCCGAAGGGGAGAGGGGAGCGGGCGAGGGCGGCGCGGGGCCCGGCGCACCUCGGGGCGGUGAUUGGAAGC